AUUGAACGCUGGCGGCAGGCCUAACACAUGCAAGUCGAGCGCGCGGCGGACGGGUGAGUAAUGCCUGGGAAUUGCCCAGUCGAGGGGGAUAACAGUUGGAAACGACUGCUAAUACCGCAUACGAUUGGAUUGCCCAGGUGGGAUUAGCUAGUUGGUGAGGUAAUGGCUCACCAAGGCGACGAUCCCUAGCUGGUAUGAGAGGAUGAUCAGCAACAAUGGAACUGCGACACGAUCCAGACUCCUAAGGGAGGCAGCAGUGGGGAAUAGUGCACAAUGGGGGAAACCCUGAUGAAGCCAUGCGGAGUGUGUGAAGAAGGCCUUCGGGUUGUAAAGCACGUUCAGCGAGGAGGCGUUACUCGCAAAAGAAGCACCGGCUAACUCCGUGCCAGCCGCCGCGGUAAUUC
rnacentral:rRNA from 1 species